rnacentral:rRNA from 1 species
GACGAACGCUGGCGGCGUGCUUAACACAUGCGAGUCGAACGGAAAGGCCCUGCUUUCGUGGGGUGCUCGAGUGGCGAACGGGUAAGUAACAGGUGAGUAACCUGCCCUUGACUUUGGGAUGACUUCAGGAAACUGGGGCUAAUACCGGAUAGGAGCACCUGCUGCAUGGUGGGGGUUGGAAAGUUUCGGCGGUUGGGGAUGGACUCGGGGCUUAUCAGCUUGUUGGUGGGGUGGUGGCUUACCAAGGCUUUGACGGGUAGCCGGCCUGAGAGGGUGACCGGCCACAUUGGGACUGGGGUACCGCCCGGAGUCCUACGGGCGGCAGCAGUGGGGAAUAUUGCACGAAGGGCGGAGGCCGGAUGCAGCAACUCCGCGUGCGGGAUGACGGCCUUCGGGUUGUAAACCGCUUUCGCCUGUGACGAAGCGUGAGUGACGAUAAUGGGUAAAGAAGCACCGGCUAACUACGUG